AUUGAACGCUGGCGGCAGGCCUAACACAUGCAAGUCGAACGAGUGGCGGACGGGUGAGUAAUGUCUGGGAAACUGCCCGAUGGAGGGGGAUAACUACUGGAAACGGUAGCUAAUACCGCAUACCAUCGGAUGUGCCCAGAUGGGAUUAGCUAGUAGGUGGGGUAACGGCUCACCUAGGCGACGAUCCCUAGCUGGUCUGAGAGGAUGACCAGCCACACGGGAACUGAGACCCGGCCCAGACUCAUCCGGGAGGCAGCAUUGGGGAAUAGUGCACAAUGGGCGCAAGCCUUAUGCAGCCAUGCCGGGUGUAUGAAGAAGGCCUUGGGGUUGUAAAGUACUUUCAGCGAGACGGCGUUACCCGCAGAAGAAGCCCCGGCUAACUCCGUGCCAGCCGCCGCGGUAAUAC
rnacentral:rRNA from 1 species